UACGUAUGUCGCGAGCGUUAUCCGGAAUUAUUGGGCAUAAAGGGCAUCUAGGCGGACGAUCAAGUCAGGGGUGAAAACUUGCGGCUCAACUGUAAGCUUGCCUUUGAAACUGAUUGUCUAGAGUAUUGGAAAGGUGGGCGGAACUACACGAGUAGAGGUGAAAUUCGUAGAUAUGUGUAGGAAUGCCGAUGAUGAAGAUAGCUCACUGGACGAUAACUGACGCUGAAGUGCGAAAGCUAGGGGAGCGAACAGG
rnacentral:rRNA from 2 species